rnacentral:rRNA from 1 species
AGCGAACGCUGGCGGCAGGCCUAACACAUGCAAGUCGAACGAAGUCUUCGGACUUAGUGGCGGACGGGUGAGUAACACGUGGGAACGUGCCCUUUGGUACGGAAUAACUCAGGGAAACUUGAGCUAAUACCGUAUGUGCCCUUCGGGGGAAAGAUUUAUCGCCAUUGGAGCGGCCCGCGUCUGAUUAGCUAGUUGGUGGUGUAAUGGACCACCAAGGCUACGAUCAGUAGCUGGUCUGAGAGGAUGAUCCGCCACACUGGGACUGAGACACGGCCCAGACUCCUACGGGAGGCAGCAGUGGGGAAUAUUGGACAAUGGGCGCAAGCCUGAUCCAGCCAUGCCGCGUGAGUGAUGAAGGCCUUAGGGUUGUAAAGCUCUUUCACCGGAGAAGAUAAUGACGGUAUCCGGAGAAGAAGCCCCGGCUAACUUCGUGCCAGCAGCCGCCGCAGUAA